rnacentral:sRNA from 1 species
UGGCAAUACACUGCUCAGCGCCGCAGCCGCAGCCCUGUGUGCUGGGGAGCCAGGUCCUGAGGGCCUCCUCAUCGUCAACACGCUGCCCUGGAAGCGGACCGAAGUGAUGGCCCUGCCCAAACCAGGCGGGGCCCACAGCCUAGGUAUGAGCUGAGGGGAAGGGUUGCUACUGCAGCAGGAAGGAUGGAGGCCAGACAGAUCAGGCCUGGGAUACCCCUAGGGAUCUGGGUGCCCUUGAAUGGAGAGUAGUAGCACAUCUUCCACCACCCCAUCCCCACCUGCGCAAGCUUCCUGAAAGGUCAGGAAGGCUGCACUGAUGCCCAGGCCUCACCCCCAGCCCUGGUGACAGUGCCCAGCAUGGGCUAUGCUCCUGUUCCUCCCCCGACCUCGCUGCAGCCCCUGCUGCCCCAGCAGCCUGUGUUCGUAGUGCAAGAGGUGAGUCCUGCAUGUCCUGGGGGGCAGGAGCUGUGCUGGGAUACUUUCUAACAACUGAGGGUCCUGAGCACCCCUGCCUGGAGCAAGUGGUGAGGCGGGGCUGGGGUUGGGGUGGGAAGACUUUUGGUGUGGGAAGCCCCUACAGACUCAGCCUCAAGGCCUCCUCCCACAAAGACUGACGGCUCCGUGACUCUGGACAAUGGCAUCAUCCGAGUGAAGCUGGACCCAACUGGCCGCCUGACGUCCUUGGUCCUGGUGGCCUCUGGCAGGGAGGCCAUUGCCGAGGGUGCCGUGGGGAACCAGUUUGUGCUAUUUGAUGAUGUCCCCUUGUACUGGGAUGCAUGGGACGUCAUGGACUACCACCUGGAGACACGGAAGCCUGUGCUGGGCCAGGCAGGGACCCUGGCAGUGGGCACCGAGGGCGGCCUGCGGGGCAGCGCCUGGUUCUUGCUACAGAUCAGCCCCAACAGUCGGCUUAGCCAGGAGGUUGUGCUGGACGUUGGCUGCCCCUAUGUCCGCUUCCACACCGAG